GUAAAUAUAGGGCGUCUGGAGAAGUUCGUGCGUUUGCGCGCAAACACAAAUCUCAGUAGAGCCAUGGUGGUUGUCACAAGCGCAAGGAGAGGAGAACAGUAAAGAGAGACAGCAGCAGUGAUCAGAGUAUACCAGCUAUAGAAUAGAAGUGGUGUGUCAUUAAUAGGUCAUCACAGUCUGUAUUCCAAUCAAUACAUUUACUUUAACAUAGCGCCUCGGUAUGUUCAGAGCGGUGUUUGGAAAUAGACGCGAUGGAAAAGGAAAAAAAGGAGAGAAAAAGGCCAAAGUUGAUUCAGUUAUUCUAAACCACUUUUCUAGCCUUCUCUACCUGUUAUCCCAUCUCCUCUCCCCCUCGCCCCCUCCCCUCCUC
ensembl:lncRNA